UGUAAAUGUUGUUUUAUAAGAUCUUCUUGGCUUAUGAAUGGCACAAUAAUAUUUAAGUCCACUGCUGACCUAAAAUACAUAUAUACAUUGUAAAUGUAUACAAGCUGAUAAUAUAAUAAUAUCGGCACCGGUACGAAAAAGAACACAGCAAGUUUAAAUCCUGAGGUAUAAAGUAUCUCAUAUGCGGAGACAAAUCAACAAAAGGAUCAUUAUCGUUUUCAAAAUUGUCAAAUUCUUUUAAUCUGCAAAAUAUAAAAAGAUAAAUUAAAUACUGUAGGAAAUACUGCGUCACGGAAAUCGCCAAUAUUUACGAAAUUAUACUGUUCUAAAUUUUUAAGAGAUAAACUAUUGUUAAAUCUUUGUGUGAUUAAUGCACGCAUUAUUGGAGUAUCUA